GGUUUCCCAGGUGCCCCUGCAAAAGGAUCAUUA
rnacentral:rRNA from 1 species